AACCUGCAGCCAGCUUUUGCCCAGUGAAUGCACGAGCUUUCAACUGCAAAAACACUGGAUUCAUUAACCAUCUGAAUGCAAAACAUGCCUACAAAAUCUCCCUGGAGCUAGAAAUGAAGUAGUCAUAUUUGCCUGCUCCUUGAGAUCUGAAGGAAUUCAAUUUCUUUUCUUCUGGCAUAUAAAAUAUAAUUUUAAAGUCAAUUACAAGAAAGUAAUCUGCAUUCUGCAAAAUUGACUGGUUCUCUAAUUUGACUAUAAGACAUCUUUAAUGAUUGUCAGGAGAUAAACUUUAACUGUAAACGGCUAUAUAUAUUUAUAAGAAAAGUACUGCAUCUCUUGCCACA